rnacentral:misc_RNA from 1 species
CAGAGUGUAAAAACUCCCAAACCCUUUGUGAAUUUACCUAUUCUUUGUUCCUUCGGUAGGCGGUCCCUGGGAGGGACCUAUAGCCCAGAUGGGUGUCUGCCGAAGAACAUCCCAAACUCUGUUACUAGUGCUUCUCUGAGUAACUUAUACAAUAAGAUCA